rnacentral:rRNA from 1 species
UUUAUCGGAGAGUUUGAUCCUGGCUCAGGACGAACGCUGGCGGCGUGCCUAAUACAUGCAAGUCGAGCGGACAUCAGGGAGCUUGCUCCCUGAUGUUAGCGGCGGACGGGUGAGUAACACGUGGGUAACCUGCCUGUAAGACUGGGAUAACUCCGGGAAACCGGGGCUAAUACCGGAUGGUUGUUUGAACCGCAUGGUUCAGA